rnacentral:rRNA from 1 species
AAUAGGCUAAUUAAGAGCGUAAGGGGAAUGCCUUGGCUCUCAGAGGCGAUGAAGGACGUGAUAAGCUGCGAUAAGCUGUGGGGAGUGGCACAAACACUUUGAUCCGCAGAUUUCCGAAUGGGGCAACCCGGCAUAUUGAAGAUAUGUCACACUGUAAAGUGAGCAAACCUGGUGAACUGAAACAUCUAAGUAACCAGAGGAAUAGAAAACAAAAGUGAUUCCGCUAGUAGUGGCGAGCGAACGUGGAACAGCCCAAACCUAUGUUGUUACGGCAAUAUAGGGGUUGUAGGACCUCAACAUUUAAUGCUAAUAGAACUAGAAUUUACUGG